AUUGAACGCUGGCGGCAGGCCUAACACAUGCAAGUCGAACGGUAGCACAGAGAGCUUGCUCUCGGGUGACGAGUGGCGGACGGGUGAGUAAUGUCUGGGAAACUGCCCGAUGGAGGGGGAUAACUACUGGAAACGGUAGCUAAUACCGCAUAACGUCGCAAGACCAAAGAGGGGGACCUUCGGGCCUCUUGCCAUCGGAUGUGCCCAGAUGGGAUUAGCUUGUAGGUGAGGUAACGGCUCACCUAGGCGACGAUCCCUAGCUGGUCUGAGAGGAUGACCAGCCACACUGGAACUGAGACACGGUCCAGACUCCUACGGGAGGCAGCAGUGGGGAAUAUUGCACAAUGGGCGCAAGCCUGAUGCAGCCAUGCCGCGUGUAUGAAGAAGGCCUUCGGGUUGUAAAGUACUUUCAGCGGGGAGGAAGGGAGUGAGGUUAAUAACCUCAUUCAUUGACGUUACCCGCAGAAGAAGCACCGGCUAACUCCGUGCCAGCAGCCGCGGUAAUACGGAGGGUGCGAGCGUUAAUCGGAAUUACUGGGCGUAAAGCGCACGCAGGCGGUCUGUCAAGUCGGAUGUGAAAUCCCCGGGCUCAACCUGGGAACUGCAUUCGAAACUGGCAGGCUGGAGUCUUGUAGAGGGGGGUAGAAUUCCAGGUGUAGCGGUGAAAUGCGUAGAGAUCUGGAGGAAUACCGGUGGCGAAGGCGGCCCCCUGGACAAAGACUGACGCUCAGGUGCGAAAGCGUGGGGAGCAGACAGGAUUAGAUACCCUGGUAGUCCACGCUGUAAACGAUGUCGACUUGGAGGUUGUUCCCUUGAGGAGUGGCUUCCGGAGCUAACGCGUUAAGUCGACCGCCUGGGGAGUACGGCCGCAAGGUUAAAACUCAAAUGAAUUGACGGGGGCCCGCACAAGCGGUGGAGCAUGUGGUUUAAUUCGAUGCAACGCGAAGAACCUUACCUACUCUUGACAUCCAGAGAACUUAGCAGAGAUGCUUUGGUGCCUUCGGGAACUCUGAGACAGGUGCUGCAUGGCUGUCGUCAGCUCGUGUUGUGAAAUGUUGGGUUAAGUCCCGCAACGAGCGCAACCCUUAUCCUUUGUUGCCAGCGAUUCGGUCGGGAACUCAAAGGAGACUGCCAGUGAUAAACUGGAGGAAGGUGGGGAUGACGUCAAGUCAUCAUGGCCCUUACGAGUAGGGCUACACACGUGCUACAAUGGCAUAUACAAAGAGAAGCGACCUCGCGAGAGCAAGCGGACCUCAUAAAGUAUGUCGUAGUCCGGAUUGGAGUCUGCAACUCGACUCCAUGAAGUCGGAAUCGCUAGUAAUCGUGGAUCAGAAUGCCACGGUGAAUACGUUCCCGGGCCU
rnacentral:rRNA from 1 species